UUUGACUUUUUCAUUAACUAUUGUUUGUCCUGCGUGUGUAUUAAGUGUCGGGACGGUGAGUAUAUAAAGUGCGUUUGAAAAUCACCUGCGCAGAGUGAGAUAUAAGUGUAUCGACCAGGACGAAGCGAAGAUGUCGAGUUUAUUAUGGAUUAUUUUAAUCGUUUGUUCAACGGUCGUGAUAGAAGGACGAGCAACGAGUUCUGACGCGAAAUUUGAGGCAGAGGAUUUUUACAAAAUUGAAGACAAGAUAAAGAAAAGAGAAGAUUGUCGUAUUCGUCCGGGACAAUUGUGGUGUCCAAAAAGAAGAGAAAUGGUUUUAGAUUUUUUAAUGCAAUGCCUCCAGAUCAACAUGUCAAAACAUAUGCCCUGCCGAAGCGAGCUAAUCUCUUGGAGGAUGAAGAGAAACGAUCUAACGGUUGCAAACUGCACCCUGGGUCUCUCUGGUGUGACGGAAAAAGAGAUAUUACGGCUCCCAAGUUAGCAAUGGAGGAAGACAAUUUUGCUAAAUUUAAAGACAAAUUAAAAAAGAGAGCGUGUCGUGUUCGUCCUGGAUCACUGUGGUGCGAAGGAAAGAGAGAGAUUGAAGAAGUUCCGGAAACGGGUGAGGCGGCGAACGAAUGAUCUUCCGAAAAUAGUUCCUAGAAACUUAGAUUUCUCAAACUAAUGUAUAAAUUAACGACAUACAAUCAUGCUAAAUGGAACGUUGGAAACUGUUGCUGAUUGCCCUGUCAUGUAACUCAAUGUAAUCGCAAUUCAGGCGCAUGCGCACUUGUGUAGUUGUACAAUAAAAUAUAUUCAAUAGCGUCAUUUGUCAUU